UACGUAGGGGGCAAGCGUUGUCCGGAUUUAUUGGGCGUAAAGAGCGUGUAGGCGGCUUGGUAGGUCCGCUGUGAAAACUCGAGGCUCAACCUCGAGAUGUCGGCGGAAACCACUUGGCUAGAGUCCGGAAGAGGAGAGUGGAAUUCCUGGUGUAGCGGUGAAAUGCGCAGAUAUCGGGAGGAACACCAAUGGCGAAGGCAGCUCGCUGGGACGUUACUGACGCUGAGACGCGAAAGCGUGGGGAGCAAACAGG
rnacentral:rRNA from 1 species